GCUCAGGAUGAACGCUGGCGGCGUGCCUAAUACAUGCAAGUCGAACGAAUCUCUUUUAGAGAUGAGUGGCGAACGGGUGAGUAAUACAUAGGUAACCUGCCCCUGUGCGGGGGAUAACAGGAGGAAACUCCUGCUAAUACCGCAUAGCCAUGAGCACCGCAUGGAGCUCAUGCCAAAUAUCCUUUAUGGGAUAGCGCAGGGAUGGACCUAUGGCGCAUUAGCUGGUUGGCGGGGCAACGGCCCACCAAGGCAACGAUGCGUAGCCGGCCUGAGAGGGCGGACGGCCACAUUGGGACUGAGACACGGCCCAGACUCCUACGGGAGGCAGCAGUAGGGAAUUUUCGGCAAUGGGGGAAACCCUGACCGAGCAACGCCGCGUGAGCGAAGAAGGCCUUCGGGUCGUAAAGCUCUGUUGUAAAGGAAGAACGGCGCAUACAGGAAAUGGUAUGCGAGUGACGGUACUUUACCAGAAAGCCACGGCUAACUACGUGCCAGCAGCCGCGGUAAUACGUAGGUGGCGAGCGUUAUCCGGAAUCAUUGGGCGUAAAGAGGGAGCAGGCGGCCGCAAGGGUCUGUGGUGAAAGACCGAAGCUAAACUUCGGUAAGCCAUGGAAACCGGGCGGCUAGAGUGCGGAAGAGGAUCGUGGAAUUCCAUGUGUAGCGGUGAAAUGCGUAGAUAUAUGGAGGAACACCAGUGGCGAAGGCGACGGUCUGGGCCGCAACUGACGCUCAUUCCCGAAAGCGUGGGGAGCAAAUAGGAUUAGAUACCCUAGUAGUCCACGCCGUAAACGAUGGUCACUAAGUGUCGGGGGUCAAACCCCGGUGCUGCAGUCAACGCAAUAAGUGACCCGCCUGAGUAGUACGUUCGCAAGAAUGAAACUCAAAGGAAUUGACGGAA
rnacentral:rRNA from 1 species